ACGUAGCGACCGAGCGUUCGUCCGCUUGGUCGCUGCGUAGCGACCGAGCUCGAGCCGAAGCUCGGUCGCUACGCAGCGACCAAGCGGACGAACGCUCGGUCGCUACGUAGA
rnacentral:pre_miRNA from 1 species